rnacentral:rRNA from 25 species
UUACAGAGGUCUCGUUAACCGAGAUCUCUCAAACGGAAUGAGUACAACGUGAAUCCUUUAACGAGGAUCGACUGGAGGGCAAGCCUGGUGCCAGCAGCCGCGGUAAUUCCAGCUCCAGUAGCGUAUAUUAAAGCUGUUGCGGUUAAAAAGCUCGUAGUUGGAUAUCAGUGUGGUUCAGCACGACAUGCCCGGUGCGUUAUGGCGUUCUCGCGAUGACGUCCGGGCUCCCAAAUGUCGUCUGGCUACAUUCAAUGGCGUCGGACUCGGCGGCCGUACUUCGGUGGGGCCUGCCGGCGACCGGCGGUGUUACCUUGAACAAAUUAGAGUGCUCAAAGCAGGCUCUCAAUGCCUGUAUACAUAUUCAUGGAAUUGGAGAAUACGUCCCUGGCUCGAUUUGGUUGGUUUUGAGAGUCGAAGGGAAAUGAUUAAUAGGGACUGACGGAGGCAUUCGUAUUGCGACGCGAGGGGUGAAAUCCUGUG